GGGGGGGGGAGGGUCACUGAGUCCGCUGAGAUGGUGCAGGAGGGAGGGACAGAGCCCUGAGACAGCCGGGCUGCGGCCCCUUGGAGCUCUCCGGCUUCACGGGGACCCUCUGUCCAGCCAGGCGGCAGCAGUACAGAUGCUCCUGGCGUCCCCCCCGUAGCUGCUCCGUGUCCCCCUACAGGGGGUGGGGGGACAGUUCAGUGAGCUUCAGAGCCUGUUGGCCUGGGUGGGACACGGUGCACGUGUGACCCCUGCAGGAAGGGACGGCGUCCGAGGUCUGCCCGCGCCGCGCUGGGCCCUGCCUUGCGUGGAAGUGCGGACCAGUCUCUCGUUACUUGCAGAAUUCCUCGUCAGACUACUUGCGGCAGCCCUUCGGCAGGGGGGGUCCCCCUUGGGAGGGGGCCUGUCGUGGUCGGAGGUCCGAUCCACAGCAGGAUCAUCGCCAGAGCGGCCCUCACCUCCGGGUCACCGCUGGCCCUGCGGCCAGCCGGCAGCGCGCACGGAGAGCACGGCGGCCCGGGCACCUGCCUGCGCCUCCCUCUCGGCCUCCCCGAGAGCAAUUCGUGCUGCUGCGGUCCCCUGGCGGGUCCCUGGGGAGGCUCCCCUCGUCCCCACACGUAUGCAAACCUUAGAGUUCCUGUGUCCCAUCGCUUUUGCCAGCUCCUCAAAGGCACUCCCCCCGAAGUUACAAUCUGCCGUAACCCCUGAGGGGCCUCCGCUUGAGGCCGCGGCAGCCGUCAGGAGGGGAAGCGGGGCUCGGUGACCUUCACCAAGACUGCCCGCAGCUUGGCCACCCUUUGGAGGACAGCGUGUCUCGAGCGUGGGGUGGCCCUCCCACGUCUGGCUAUUCGAGCUUGGACAAGGUGCUUACCUCUGUCAGCUUCCAUUUCCUCAUCUCAAGAAAAUGUCUAAACAUGGGGUUCUACCGGUGUUUCCCUGGCAGGACGGCUGGAAGGAAUAAAGGAGUGAGCAGUGCCUGGCGGCAGCCUUCUAUACACGGACCAUUCAGAAAGCCUGUGGGCAUCUGUUGGAAAGGCUGCUUUACACUCAUCUCUGCGAGCCUUUGGGACACAGUGCAUUGUACCCGAGGGGCCCCAGAGUGACCCUCAGGACUGCGGGAGGGGACGCCCAGCCCCACAGGCCCGAGGGCGUCAGGAUCGCCGUUUAGGAGCUUCCGCGGGAAGCGGUGCCAAGGGUGUCCUGCUGGAAAUGGCAGCGAUGACAGGGCUUUGGGGCGGCCUCUCAGGUCCUGGGGCGUCAGUGGCUGGCGUCCAGUCAGGAACUGGGCUGGGAGAUGACGGGCCCCGUGUGGCAGUGUCCACAGAGGACCCGUGGGGGUCUGGGAGAAGGACCCGCACCGCAGUCGGGGUGGAGCAGGGCGAAGAGACAGCAGCUCCUGUUUGCAGAUCCUUCAUCUUCUCUCUCCCCGACUCGUGUGACCCGGGAAGAUGGGGACUUUGCUCUGUUCUUCUCUUCCAGUGGUAAUUAAGCCAUCUCUUGACAUAUGAACUAGCCGUGAAAACAUCUGCAAGGUCAUUUAAAAUCACGGUCUGCUUCUACAAAGCCGCUUUAAGCCUGUCGUUGCACCUGCAGUGCUGGAUUGGGGGUACGGGACACGCACGGGAGUCGCGGCCCACGUGGGACUGUCCGCGUUAAAGAGCGCCGUCCUCAGUGGCCUUCUCGCCAUCCUUAAUUUAGGCACUUUUCUUUCAAGUGAAUUAUUUAAGGAACAGCUUACAGCGAGAUGCUUUUGUGGGGUGAGGAAGCACAUCACGCCACCUGCCUCUCGUGGAGACUGUCUAGUGCUUGUGUUUAACGUGUCAUGGGGUGCGUGGAGGUGAGCAGGGGUGCAGUCACACAGAAGGGUUCCGCCCUGAGAAAGCACGCUCACCUGCGGGUAAUGUGGGCGGCGAGGCCCCAGUGAGGCACACCUGCCCAGGUGACGGCAGUGGUGCCUCCACAGGGCCGCUCGGACCACUGCUCUUCUGUCCUCCACCCGCAUUUCUUUCACUCCACCAGGACUGCAGCCACCUAACUUCAUUUCUCCAUUCCCGGAAGCAUCUGCUGGCCUGGGGUUUCUAAGAAAGCGUUCAUCUGCACACACGUUUCAAGCACAGGAUAAAUAAGACUUACAGCUGCUGCUUCUCCCUGCCCUAUGGGAAGACUCUAAGUACAUUUCAUACAUCUAAAAACCUGAGCUUUGCAAGAAAAAGGGGUUGUUACAAGAAGGAACCAAGUAUUAAGUUUUGCUUUCAAUGGAGGACAUGAUGAUGGUGAUGGUUGGCGACAUCAGAGAGGUGUUCCUUGUGCCGCCUGGCAGGCAGUGUAGCAGUUCUCAGUGUGGCCCAGGCCAGCGACAUGCCUGGGCGUCCCGGAGACCCUUUCAGGGUCCACUUUGGUAAUUACCCCGACACUGCACUGUUCACUCUACCGUGAGUGCACAGCGGAGUCACGAGGCUGUGGGCGUGCGAUUGCACAGGGAUGGAGCACAGAGCCCGCCACUCAUCUCUGACUUGUUUUAGAAAAUACUAUUUUCAUUAAAUGUAUUAGUAAACAUUUUUUUUAAAGUCUCGGUUUAAAUUCUUUUUUUUUUUUUAAAUCCUUAAGCCAACUAUUUUUUUUAUCAUUAAGUUAUUUUUGGCUGUGUUGGGUCUUCGUUGCUGCGCGCGGGCUUUCUCUAGUUGUGGCGAGCGGGGGCUACUCUUUGGUGUGGUGCGUGGGCUUCUCACUGCAGUGGCUUCUCUUGUUGCGGAGCAUGGGCUCUAGGCACACGGGCUUCAGUAGUUGUGGCUCGUGGGCUCUAGAGCGCAGGCUCAGUCGUGGCUCGCGGGCUUAGUUGCUCCGCGGCAUGUGGGAUCUUCCCGGACCACCGCUCGAACCCGUGUCCCCUUCAUUGGCAGGCGGAUUCUCAACCACUGCGCCACCAGGGAAGCCCCUCGGUUUAAAUUCUUAACAAGGUUAACAUCAGUAGAUAGAGGCCACAGAACAGAAGCUCUUUGGGUCCUGAGAGUGUAAAGCGGUCUUGAGACCCACUGGCGCUGAGUGGUGAGCGUGCUUUGGGCUCUCACUCCCUGGACGGGUAUCGCCCCCGCCAUGCUCUGGGGCUAUUUGGGUAAACCUUCGUUUCUUCAUCUGUAAAAUGCAAGUGUUACUGCUGCUUCUCUCAUAAGACUCUCAAGAGGUUUCAAUGCAGUAAUCUCGAUAAAGCAGAUUAUUAUCUUAAUGAUGGGAAAAAAGAAAGACUAAAGCAAAUAAUAUCUGAACAAUUUCCUAAAUGUUUUCUACUCGCGAAGGCUUUCACAGUAACAGACCAGUGUCACAAGGAAAAAUGGAGGUGUUUUCCAGUUAUUGGCCAAAUUCUCUAUGUCUCAGUAAUAAAAUAGGAUUUUUAAAACUAGAAUGAGCUUUCCACAUUUUAAAAUUCAGAUUUAGUUUUAGUUCUAGAUGUUGGAUCUAGAACAUUUACUUCUCGCUCUAUUAAGUAAAAUGCUUUGAAUUAAAAUAUAGAAAUGGAAAGAGGGUGUAACUGGAAAAAUAAGAUUGAUUUAUUUUCCUUUUUGAAAUUUUUCUGAACAUUGAAGUAUAUGCCCUAGUAGAACCAAGAACCUAAAACAUUAAUGAGGAAAAUGAAACAUUUCUUGAAAUAAUGGCUAAUUUCCUGGUAUUAUGGUGCGAUCACUGGCUGUAAUUUAAUCAACUUGUAACUCUGUGGUGAUGACCAGUUGAUCACACAUGUCUGUGUGAUAAAGAGCACACGUCCAUUUUGGAUGUAUCUGUGGGGUCCAGGUGUGAAGUGGGAGCAUGUCUACAGCCAUGAUUUGCAGAGCAGGGUCAUCAUACCACAGCCUCCAUAAUUUUCAGUUCAGUUUCAAACCUGUGGACCAGUAACCCUCUAUAGUUUUACUUGGGAUAUACUCCUGGAUGUGCUCUUCUUGGUAUUUUAUUUUAAUGAUUGAAAUAUUUUCUGCAUUUAUUUGACUCAUCCUGGAAAUACUUUAAAGGGUUGUUACAGUGAAAAGUCUUUCUCCAUACACUGACUCUGCUGCAAUAGUAGAAAAACUUACCAUUAAUUUCCAAACAGUGGAAAAGUAUUGUCCUUGUUUGUUUGAAAUUUGAAAAUAGAAUAAACAUAAUUUGCAAAUUAAAUAUCAUAAGUACACACUGUGGACAGUUCAAAUGCAUGUAUUUGAUUUUUCCUUUCAAAUUAACAAGCUUAUUUGAAAUAGUAAACUUCACACCCUCGAGGUGAAAUGUAAUCAUCGUGUUUUUCGGAGAUCAACUCUUUCUGAUGAUCCCAGAAACAUGUUUGUGCAACUGAUAAGCUUACCACAGUAUUCUAGUGCUAAGUUGUACUAUUUAAUAUAUAAACAGUUUAUCCCCAAUGUUGUGUUCUGGGCUUGUUAUGCAAAAUCCUAUGUAAAUUACGAAUUAAAUUGUACUAUAUUUCUUGACUAA